ACGCCUUAUACAUGCAAGUCGAACGAAGUAGCAAUACUUAGUGGCAGACGGGUGAGUAACAUGUGGGUAUCUUCCCUUUGGUGAGGAAUAACACGAGGAAACUUGUGCUAAUACCUCAUAAGUCUUUACGGAGAAAGCUUUAUGCGCCAAUGGAUGAGCCCGCACUUGAUUAGUUUGUUGGUGGGGUAAUGGCCUACCAAGACUUUGAUCAAUAGCUGAUCUGAGAGGAUGAUCAGCCACAUUGGGACUGAGACACGGCCCAAACUCCUACGGGAGGCAGCAGUAGGGAAUAUUGCACAAUGGAGGAAACUCUGAUGCAGCGAUGCCGCGUGAGUGAAGAAGGCCCUUGGGUUGUAAAGCUCUUUCGUCGGGGAAGAAAAUGACUGUACCCGAAUAAGAAGGUCCGGCUAACUUCGUGCCAGCAGCCGCGGUAAUACGAAGGGACCUAGCGUAGUUCGGAAUUACUGGGCUUAAAGAGUUCGUAGGUGGUUAAAAAAGUUGGUGGUGAAAUCCCAGAGCUUAACUCUGGAACUGCCAUCAAAACUUUUUAGCUAGAGUAUGAUAGAGGAAAGCAGAAUUUCUAGUGUAGAGGUGAAAUUCGUAGAUAUUAGAAAGAAUACCAAUUGCGAAGGCAGCUUUCUGGAUCAUUACUGACGCUGAGGAACGAAAGCAUGGGUAGCGAAGAGGAUUAGAUACCCUCGUAGUCCAUGCCGUAAACGAUGUGUGUUAGACGUUGGAAAUUUAUUUUCAGUGUCGCAGCGAAAGCAUUAAACACACCGCCUGGGGAGUACG
rnacentral:rRNA from 1 species